rnacentral:rRNA from 1 species
GNAAUUCACCGACUGCUCGCNUAAUGUCAUCUAAGNCAUGUGNUCANGUUGUAUCUAUGGAUCUCAGCACUGNNACGCUCGGUCUUGUACAGCCUAACACAUGCAAGUCGAACGGCAGCACAGGAGAGCUUGCUCUCUGGGUGGCGAGUGGCGGACGGGUGAGGAAUACAUCGGAAUCUACUCUGUCGUGGAGGGAUAACGUAGGGAAAACUUACUGCUAAUACCGCAUACGACCUAACAGGGUGAAAGCACGGGGAUCUUCUGUGACCUUGCGCGAUUGACAUGAGCCGAUGUCGGAUUAGCUAGUUGGCGGGGUUAAAGGCCCACCAAGGCGACGAUCCGUAGCUGGUCUGAGAGGAUGAUCAGCCACACUGGAACUGAGACACGGUCCAGACUCCUACGGGAGGCAGCAGUGGGAAUAUUGGACAAUGGGCGCAAGCCUGAUCCAGCCAUACCGCGUGGGUGAAGAAGGCCUUCGGGUUGUAAAGCCCUUUUGUUGGGAAAGA